CACGGGGGGAGCAAGCGUUGUUCGGAUUCAUUGGGCGUAAAGGGCUCGUAGGUGGCUUUGUAAGUCGGAGGUGAAAUCCCACGGCUCAACCGUGGACACGCCUUCGAAACUGUGAAGCUUGAGGCUGGGAGAGGAAAUCGGAAUUCCUGGUGUAGCGGUGAAAUGCGCAGAUAUCGGGAAGAACACCAAUGGCGAAAGCAGCUUUCUGGGACGGUACUGACGCUGAGACGCGAAAGCGUGGGGAGCAAACAGG
rnacentral:rRNA from 1 species